rnacentral:rRNA from 1 species
UGCUUUCGAUAGGCGUCGACCGGCGCACGGGUGAGUAACGCGUAUCCAACCUGCCCAUAACUAAGGGAUAAUCCGUAGAAAUGCGGUCUAAUACCUUACGUGUUCCGACGAAGACAUCUGAAUUGGAAUAAAGAUUUAUCGGUUAUGGAUGGGGAUGCGUCUGAUUAGAUUGUUGGCGGGGCAACGGCCCACCAAGUCUGCGAUCAGUAGGGGUUCUGAGAGGAAGGUCCCCCACAUUGGAACUGAGACACGGUCCAAACUCCUACGGGAGGCAGCAGUGAGGAAUAUUGGUCAAUGGGCGGGAGCCUGAACCAGCCAAGUAGCGUGCAGGAUGACGGCCCUAUGGGUUGUAAACUGCUUUUGUAUGGGGAUAAAUUGCUCCACGAGUGGAGUAUUGCAGGUACCAUACGAAUAAGGACCGGCUAAUUCCGUGCCAGCAGCCGCGGUAAUACGGAAGGUCCGGGCGUUAUCCGGAUUUAUUGGGUUUAAAGGGAGCGUAGGCCGUGGAUUAAGUGUGUUGUGAAAUGUAGGCGCUCAACGUCUGACUUGCAGUGCAUACUGGUCCACUUGAGUGCGCACAACGCGGGCGGAAUUUGUCGUGUAGCGGUGAAAUGCUUAGAUAUGACGAAGAACCCCGAUUGCGAAGGCAGCUCGCGGGAGCGCAACUGACGCUGAAGCUCGAAAGUGCGGGUAUCGAACAGGAUUAGAUACCCUGGUAGUCCGCACGGUAAACGAUGGAUGCCCGCUUUUCGGUCAUUAGACCGUGAGGCCAAGUGAAAACAUUAAGCAUCCCACCUGGG